ACACUCCUGCGGGAGGCAGCAGUGGGGAAUAUUGCACAAUGGGCGCAAGCCUGAUGCAGCCAUGCCGCGUGUAUGAAGAAGGCCUUCGGGUUGUAAAGUACUUUCAGCGGGGAGGAAGGCAAUACGGUUAAUAACCGUGUUGAUUGACGUUACCCGCAGAAGAAGCACCGGCUAACUCCGUGCCAGCAGCCGCGGUAAUACGGAGGGUGCAAGCGUUAAUCGGAAUUACUGGGCGUAAAGCGCACGCAGGCGGUCUGUCAAGUCGGAUGUGAAAUCCCCGGGCUCAACCUGGGAACUGCAUUCGAAACUGGCAGGCUUGAGUCUUGUAGAGGGGGGUAGAAUUCCAGGUGUAGCGGUGAAAUGCGUAGAGAUCUGGAGGAAUACCGGUGGCGAAGGCGGCCCCCUGGACAAAGACUGACGCUCAGGUGCGAAAGCGUGGGGAGCAAACAGGAUUAGAAACCCCUGUAGUCCCAUGA
rnacentral:rRNA from 1 species